AUUGAACGCUGGCGGCAGGCCUAACACAUGCAAGUCGAACGGUAACAGGAAGCAGCUUGCUGCUUUGCUGACGAGUGGCGGACGGGUGAGUAAUGUCUGGGAAACUGCCUGAUGGAGGGGGAUAACUACUGGAAACGGUAGCUAAUACCGCAUAACGUCGCAAGACCAAAGAGGGGGACCUUCGGGCCUCUUGCCAUCGGAUGUGCCCAGAUGGGAUUAGCUUGUUGGUGGGGUAACGGCUCACCAAGGCGACGAUCCCUAGCUGGUCUGAGAGGAUGACCAGCCACACUGGAACUGAGACACGGUCCAGACUCCUACGGGAGGCAGCAGUGGGGAAUAUUGCACAAUGGGCGCAAGCCUGAUGCAGCCAUGCCGCGUGUAUGAAGAAGGCCUUCGGGUUGUAAAGUACUUUCAGCGGGGAGGAAGGGAGUAAAGUUAAUACCUUUACUCAUUGACGUUGCCCGCAGAAGAAGCACCGGCUAACUCCGUG
rnacentral:rRNA from 1 species